AUAAUACUCCAUACGUGUCACUGUUUCUCUCUCUCGCUCUGUGUCCGACGAACCUUGACAAAAUCGGAGCCCAAUGGAGGAUACAUUGGCUCGUCGGAGUCUUCUAUCCGCCGGAGAUGAUGGUCACGAUCGGCGAUGGAUGUUUAGCAAAUCGUUGAAUCUGGCUGGUUGUUGAUAUCUAUCUACAAAUGCAUUUGAGAAACUAAGAUGGAUAUGAGUAUUUUAUCUCUGUCUUUGGAGUGUAUUGAUCUACUGAGGAACAAGUAUGGAUGUGCACUGGGUUUGGAGAAAUAUGGUUGGAUCCCAUAAUCUGGAUCCAACCAUUGGAGAUGGUCGUAACACUAAGAAAAACGCAGACUCUAUUGCUAAAAAUCUGGAUAAGGCUGGGUACCGUGUGACGUGUCACGACCUUACACGGUGGGAAAUCACAAGUGCAGAGAGAAAAAGAGAUACAAGUAUACAACGUUCUUAU